ACUCACAGAAGCUAUGGGCCCCAAGGGAAGGAGGCGUGGGGACUGUGUGCCCAGGGAGAUUAGGAAGUGAGAACAGAUAACUCGCCCACUUGUGACCGAUGAGUGAGCGACGCCCAGUCCACUCGGGCACACAGUGGCUCUCUGAGGAACGUUUCAUGGAGGUGCCCUUGUCUCCGUACAGAAGAUUCUAGAAGGCUUUGGGUGUGUGUCUGUCAGUGGCAGAGCCGCUUCAGACGCUGGUGACUGUUUUGGGCUGGGCACUGUCGUCGAAGGUAUGUUCAGCUAUGACAGCCCAAGGACAGCUACUGAGGACAUUUGCCUGCUUUUGAAGCUGCACACCGUUUCUGAAUUCUCCGCAGCGCUGAGGCUUAUCUCCGGGCGCCACACCGUCUUAUCUGAAGUUUUCUUCCUUUCGUCUUCCUGAGAAGAUUUAUAACCCAGAAAAGCCACGCCAUGAUUUCUGCUUCCAAAAUUGUAUUCUGGUUGUUUUAUUUUGCUCCCUGUCCUCCGUUGGCUUCGAGGAUGCUGUUGAGCAAUCUACAAAUUCCCAGAGUGUCUGUGACUUUGUAGGCACCGUUGGCCGUUAUCUUUGCUGUGUCUUUUAUAGAAUGUUCAUAAAUUCCAGGUUAUCACAGCUUUGUAAAGUUCUGUUACAGGCAAGCUAGGGACAGAUGCAGAUAGGAGAGAGGGACCAGAGGUAUAGUCCUGUAAUGUCACAGAGAAUUAUACUUUCAGUCUAGAAUGGGGAAUAGGAAAAAAGGCUUUAUAAGUUACCUUUUUUUUUUUUUUUUUUGAGACAGGGUUUCUCUGUGUAGCCCUGGCUAUCUGAAACUUACCUUGUAGACCAGGCUGGCCUUGAACUCAGAAAUCCACCUGCCUCUGCCUCCCAAGUGCUGGGAUUAAAGGCGUGUGCCUUUUAAGACACACUUUUUUUUAAGACUUAAGUGGCACGUUCAGGCUGAUUGCUAAGGAUGAGAGUUUAUGAUUUUGCUUGUGUUGUGCAUAGGCACAGUCAUGCCAUGGUGUGUAUGUGGAGAACCAGAGGGCAACCUACAGGAAUGGACUCCUUAUUCCAGUGUGAACAGACAAAAUGGUGGGUGAUGGGACCUCGGAGAUUAGGGUCUCCCGGGCACCGUCAUGAGGGCCAAGGUGAGGGAGGGAAGCAGGGGAGGAUGCUCUGGAGAGAGAAUGAAGCUGACUGCAGAAGGAAGCUGCUGCUGGUGGUCCUCAGUUCUUGUCCCAGGGGGAGCCGGAAGUUCCAUAAAAGAUUCUGUGGCCUCCCACAA
rnacentral:lncRNA from 1 species